UCUCUGAUGUUAGCGGCGGACGGGUGAGUAACACGUGGAUAACCUACCUAUAAGACUGGGAUAACUUCGGGAAACCGGAGCUAAUACCGGAUAAUAUUUUGAACCGCAUGGUUCAAAAGUGAAAGACGGUCUUGCUGUCACUUAUAGAUGGAUCCGCGCUGCAUUAGCUAGUUGGUAAGGUAACGGCUUACCAAGGCAACGAUGCAUAGCCGACCUGAGAGGGUGAUCGGCCACACUGGAACUGAGACACGGUCCAGACUCCUACGGGAGGCAGCAGUAGGGAAUCUUCCGCAAUGGGCGAAAGCCUGACGGAGCAACGCCGCGUGAGUGAUGAAGGUCUUCGGAUCGUAAAACUCUGUUAUUAGGGAAGAACAUAUGUGUAAGUAACUGUGCACAUCUUGACGGUACCUAAUCAGAAAGCCACGGCUAACUACGUGCCAGCAGCCGCGGUAAUACGUAGGUGGCAAGCGUUAUCCGGAAUUAUUGGGCGUAAAGCGCGCGUAGGCGGUUUUUUAAGUCUGAUGUGAAAGCCCACGGCUCAACCGUGGAGGGUCAUUGGAAACUGGAAAACUUGAGUGCAGAAGAGGAAAGUGGAAUUCCAUGUGUAGCGGUUAAAUGCGCAGAGAUAUGGAGGAACACCAGUGGCGAAGGCGACUUUCUGGUCUGUAACUGACGCUGAUGUGCGAAAGCGUGGGAAUCAAACAGGAUUAGAUACCCUGGUAGUCCACGCCGUAAACGAUGAGUGCUAAGUGUUAGGGGGUUUCCGCCCCUUAGUGCUGCAGCUAACGCAUUAAGCACUCCGCCUGGGGAGUACGACCGCAAGGUUGAAACUCAAAGGAAUUGACGGGGACCCGCACAAGCGGUGGAGCAUGUGGUUUAAUUCGAAGCAACGCGAAGAACCUUACCAAAUCUUGACAUCCUUUGACAACUCUAGAGAUAGAGCCUUCCCCUUCGGGGGACAAAGUGACAGGUGGUGCAUGGUUGUCGUCAGCUCGUGUCGUGAGAUGUUGGGUUAAGUCCCGCAACGAGCGCAACCCUUAAGCUUAGUUGCCAUCAUUAAGUUGGGCACUCUAAGUUGACUGCCGGUGACAAACCGGAGGAAGGUGGGGAUGACGUCAAAUCAUCAUGCCCCUUAUGAUUUGGGCUACACACGUGCUACAAUGGACAAUACAAAGGGCAGCGAAACCGCGAGGUCAAGCAAAUCCCAUAAAGUUGUUCUCAGUUCGGAUUGUAGUCUGCAACUCGACUACAUGAAGCUGGAAUCGCUAGUAAUCGUAGAUCAGCAUGCUACGGUGAAUACGUUCCCGGGUCUUGUACACACCGCCCGUCACACCACGAGAGUUUGUAACA
rnacentral:rRNA from 1 species